rnacentral:rRNA from 1 species
GACGAACGCUGGCGGCGUGCUUAACACAUGCAAGUCGAACGGAAAGGCCCUUUUCGGGGGGUUCUCGAGAGGCGAACGGGAGAGUAACACGUGAGUAACCUGCCCCUGACUCUGGGAUAACUUCAGGAAACGGGGGCUAAUACCGGAAAGGAGCUCCUGCAGCACGGUGGGGGUUGGAAAGUUUCGGCGGUUGGGGCUUGGAUGGCGGGUUGUCAGUUUGUUGGUGGGGUAGUGGCUUACCAAGGCUUUGAAGGGUAGCCGGCCUGGGUGGGUGACCGGCCACAUUGAGACUGAGAGGCGGCCCAGACUCCUACGGGUGGCAGCAGGGGGGAAUAUUGCACAAUGGGUGGAGGCCGGAUGCAGCAAGGCUGUGGGCGGGAUGACGGCGUUGGGGUUGAAGACCGCUUUCGCUCAUGCCGAAGCUUUGUGUGACGGUAGUGGGUAAAGAAGCACCGGCUAACUACGUG